rnacentral:rRNA from 1 species
CACGUAGGGCGCAAGCGUUGUCCGGAAUUAUUGGGCGUAAAGAGCUCGUAGGCGGUCUGUUGCGUCCGCUGUGAAAACUCGGGGCUUAACCCCGAGCCUGCAGUGGAUACGGGCAGACUAGAGUGUGGUAGGGGAGACUGGAAUUCCGUGGUGUAGCGGUGAAAUGCGCAGAUAUCAGGAGGAACACCGAUGGCGAAGGCAGGUCUCUGGGCCACUACUGACGCUGAGAAGUGAAAGCAUGGGGAGCGAACAGG